UAUAAUUGUUAUAUUUAACAAAUUUAUAUUUGAGGAAAGUCCGCGCUAGCACUACCUGAGAUGGUAGUAGUGUUCAUGUUGGAUCUAAUAAAUCCAAGCUUUAGACGACCAGUGCCACAGAGACGAGUUUAUUUAUUAAUUUGUUUAUAUUAAAAAAUAGUUUAGAAUUUUUAAAUUAAUAAAUAAGGUGAAACGCGGUAAACUCCAUGAGCUAGAAACCUAAAUUUUGGUAAGGGAGCCCAAUUUCGGGAAACAAACUUUAAUUGGGAAGUUCUAUUAUAAUAUUUUUAUAAAGAACU
rnacentral:misc_RNA from 1 species